rnacentral:rRNA from 1 species
UGCCAGCAGCCGCGGUAAUACGAAAGGGGCAAGCGUUGUUCGGAAUUACUGGGCGUAAAGCGCACGUAGGCGGCCUUGUAAGUUGGGGGUGAAAUCCCGGAGCUCAACUUGGGAACUGCCUUUGAUACUGUUUAUCUAGAGUCCGAGAGAGGUUAGUGGAAUUCCCAGUGUAGAGGUGAAAUUCGUAGAUAUUCGGAGGAACACCAGUGGCGAAGGCGGCUCACUGGCUCGAUACUGACGCUCAUGUACGAAAGCGUGGGGAGCAAGCAGGAUUAGAUA